rnacentral:tRNA from 1 species
AGGCACGUAGCUCAGUUGGUUAGAGCACCACCUUGACAUGGUGGGGGUCGUUGGGUCGAGUCCAAUCGCGCCUACCA